AUGAAGGGGACAGGUGUGUGUAAUGAAGGGGACAGGUGUGUGUAAUGAAGGGGACAGGUGUGUGUAAUGAAGGGGACAGGUCUGUGUAAUGAAGGGGACAGGUGUGCGUAAUGAAGGGGACAGGUGUGCGUAAUGAAGGGGACAGGUGUGUGUAAUGAAGGGGACAGCUGUGCGUAAUGAAGGGGACAGGUGUGUGUAAUGAAGGGGACAGGUGUGUGGAAUGAAGGGGACAGGUGUGUGUAAUGAAGGGGACAGGUCUGUGUAAUGAUGGGGACAGGUGUGUGUAAUGAAGGGAACAGGUGUGUAAUGAAGGGGACAGGUCUGUGUAAUGAAAGGGACAGCUGUGUGUAAUGAAGGGGACAGCUGUGUG
ensembl:lncRNA